rnacentral:rRNA from 1 species
CCUACGGGUGGCAGCAGUGAGGAAUAUUGGUCAAUGGGCGCUAGCCUGAACCAGCCAAGUAGCGUGAAGGAUGACUGCCCUAUGGGUUGUAAACUUCUUUUAUAUGGGAAUAAAGUGCAGUAUGUAUACUGCUUUGCAUGUACCUUAUGAAUAAGGAUCGGCUAACUCCGUGCCAGCAGCCGCGGUAAUACGGAGGAUGCGAGCGUUAUCCGGAUUUAUUGGGUUUAAAGGGUGCGCAGGCGGAUUUUUAAGUCAGCGGUCAAAUCGUGGGGCUCAACCCCAUCCAGCCGUUGAAACUGGGGAUCUAGAGUGUGCGAGAGGUAUGCGGAAUGCGUGGUGUAGCGGUGAAAUGCAUAGAUAUCACGCAGAACCCCGAUUGCGAAGGCAGCAUACCGGUGCACAACUGACGCUCAGGCACGAAAGCGUGGGUAUCGAACAGGAUUAGAUACCCGAGUAGUC